rnacentral:rRNA from 1 species
UACGUAGGGUCCGAGCGUUGUCCGGAAUUACUGGGCGUAAAGAGCUCGUAGGUGGUUUGUCGCGUUGUUCGUGAAAACUCACAGCUUAACUGUGGGCGUGCGGGCGAUACGGGCAGACUUGAGUACUGCAGGGGAGACUGGAAUUCCUGGUGUAGCGGUGGAAUGCGCAGAUAUCAGGAGGAACACCGGUGGCGAAGGCAGCUCGCUGGGACGUUACUGACACUGAGGCGCGAAAGCGUGGGGAGCGAACAGG